GCCACCUUAGCUCAGUUGGUAGAGCACUUCACUCGUAACGAAGAGGUCCCCGGUUCAAUCCCGGGAGGUGGCUCCA
rnacentral:tRNA from 1 species